AUGCUCAGUGCUUUUAGUGUUGAGGCUGUUACCGAAAUCCCCCCAAAAUAUUGCUGUGGAGCUCACAGAAUCACAGAAUAUCCUGAAUUGGAGGGGACCAUCCAAGUCCAGCUCCUGCUAGUUACGUUUUCCAGCUCAGGAUCAGAGCAUGCAGCAGGGAAAGUUCCUAUGCAUCAAAUGCCUUUGGGCAUUUUGGCAGAUGCACAAAAAAUUGUUAGAAAUUGCUUAAUGUGCUCCCCAGUAACUAGACGAGCAAGUGGUGGUCAGAGCCUGUGCACCUCAUAUGAAGGAGCAUCCUCUCCCCUUUGCAGGCUGGGCCAGGCUGCCGUGCUGGCACGCCGAUGCUCCUGGCUGUGCUGGAGUGCUGCAUCUCCACGAGGAGAAGACAUCUCCAAGGCCAAAUUCCAGCUUCUGAAGUGCCGUACCUCUCUCCUACUUCAAUGGGAGCCUUUCACAUUUAUCCCAAGGCGUAACACGGCCCUUACAGCGUUUGAAACGAGAUGUGCUGAUCAGAGCAUCGCUCGGCAGCCGCCGUCGCUGUGCUCCUCAAAGGACGGCUCCGAGAGGGGGCUGGGAGUUGGAGCUGGGAGCAUUUCGGUGCUCAGCAUGCCUUUUGCUGGGGCGUUGUGCUUGUUGGAGCUCUCUUUGAGUGACCUGGAAGCAGAUGUUGGCUUGUAGGGUCGUGAAGCGCCUUGGUGGGGUCGAUGGGCUUGGUGGGAGGUCUGUGAUGGGUCUGUGGGUCACGCCUGUGAGUAUGUACGAUGGGCUGGAGCAGGGAGGUGAACACACAAGGUCAAUCUGAGUUCUUGCCUUGUUUUGUUGUUGUUGUUGCGUAUGUGUUUGUUUUCUUUUUAGCUAGAAUGGUGCAAUACCCGAGGACGCUGUUAAAAGAUUGUUGCACCUGAUAUUUGAGGCUGAGAGUGCCUCUGGCCAGGAAUUCAGUAUUUUCAGUUCUUGCUGAAGCCAGCAACAACCGCAAAUCUGUUAUACAUCCUUGAAGGUGCUCAGCACCCAUUGCAGGAGGGUGCAAGCCUUGCACAGCGCUGUCUGAUCGAUGUCGGGGAGAGACGUGUGCCUGAGUGCUGCGGGAGGCGUGGUCAGGCUGCUGUUCCGAUCCUAAUCGCUCCUCGGAGAGAGCUCCCUUUGUGGAACAGGAGUUAAGCAUUUCGUUACGGGAAUUCCUUUGCUUGUUUUUGAGUUUUUUCCUCGACCUCAUGGUCUUGGGGAAAUCGUACAUGCCAUAGGGAGGACGAGUGAGGGACGGGACAGAUGUUGCUGGUGAGGGUUUGUGCUGCUGGUCCCUGCGAGAGGUACCUGGAGGCGCAGGAUCUGUGCGGGGCUUGGCAGAGGAUCAGCCACAAGUCCUGGCAGUGACACGUUGUGCUCUUAGAAAUGCCUUUCCUUCUCUAAAUGCUUUCUUCCAGAGGAUAAAACUUUAGGAUGGUGGCGUCGGGUGGCGGGGGGUUGUCUGGAGGGCAGGGCUGUGCCCAGAGCUCUGCCCUGGUCUCUUGCUUGCUUUGGGCAGGUGGAAUCAGAGCUGGCUUGGAGCCGGGUACCUACCCACCACGGUACCCCCUGAGCCUUCAGACCUUUGCAAAAUGGAUAAAAGCCCCUCCACGCUCUGAAGUGAAGCCUUGAAAUGAGGGAGAUUGGCGGCUUCAGUCUGCAAAGAUGGUCAGAAAACCUGGUGUGAUGGGGUGGCCUCGGGAGACGUGCAGGACGUCGGUCGGUGUCUGCAACCCAGCUGUCGGUUUUGGCCAAGCCUUUUCAGUCCUCCCCUUGCCAGGGCCCUCGAGUGGUAUGAGAGAGGGGACAAAUGAGUAACGGGGUGGUGACCUAAGACGGUGUGAGCUUGGAGGGUGAGUUUGUAGGCAGAGCCCCUGUAACUACUCGAACAGCGUAGCACCAAAUACCCACGGUGGGGGCAUGGGGCUGAGGGCGGGCAGGGAGGAGAGGCAGUGAUAACUCUAUCCAGUGAAGCAGGUUGUCCCUGGAAAUAGAACAUGAAUAAGUAAUCCGGAUAAAUAAUGGAGCUGUCUGAACUGUAACAAUAAAGAAUAAAAGUGCUGAGUGUGGCUUGCGGUG
rnacentral:lncRNA from 1 species